UGGGGAAUAUUGCACAAUGGGCGCAAGCCUGAUGCAGCCAUGCCGCGUGUGUGAAGAAGGCCUUCGGGUUGUAAAGCACUUUCAGCGAGGAGGAAGGGUAGUGUGUUAAUAGCACAUUGCAUUGACGUUACUCGCAGAAGAAGCACCGGCUAACUCCGUGCCAGCAGCCGCGGUAAUACGGAGGGUGCAAGCGUUAAUCGGAAUUACUGGGCGUAAAGCGCACGCAGGCGGUUUGUUAAGUCAGAUGUGAAAUCCCCGCGCUUAACGUGGGAACUGCAUUUGAAACUGGCAAGCUAGAGUCUUGUAGAGGGGGGUGAGAAUUCCAGGUGUAGCGGUGAAAUGCGUAGAGAUCUGGAGGAAUACCGGUGGCGAAGGCGGCCCCCUGGACAAAGACUGACGCUCAGGUGCGAAAGC
rnacentral:rRNA from 1 species